GAUGAACGCUGGCGGCGUGCCUAAUACAUGCAAGUCGAGCGAAGAGACGAGAGUCCUUGCACUCUCUGCCGAUAGCGGAAGGCGUGUGUGACACAUGUGGGACAUCUACCUAUAAGACGGGCAACACUUCGGGAAACCGGAUCAUAUCCCGUAUAAUAUUUAACUUCGCAUGAAGCAAUAGUGAAAGACUGUUCUGCUGUCACUUAUAGAUGGACCCGCGGAGUAUUAGCUAGUUGGUGAGGUAACGGCUCACCAAGGCUACGGUGCUUAGCCGACCCGAGAGGGUGAUCGGCUACACUGGGACUGAGACAGGGCCCAGACUCCUAGGGGAGGCAGCGGUAGGGAAUCUUACGCAAUGGACGAAAGUCGGACGGAGCAAUACCGCGUAAGUGAUGAAGGUGUUCGGAUGGUAAAACUCUGUUGUAAUGGAAGAAGAAGUACGUUAGUAACAGAGCGUACAUUGACGGUACCUUACCAGAAAGCCACGGCUAACUACGUG
rnacentral:rRNA from 1 species